GACGAACGCUGGCGGCGCGCUUAACACAUGCAAGUCGAAGCGAGAACCAGGGCUUCGGCUCUGGGGAACAGCGGCGAACGGGUGAGUAACACGUGAGUAAUCUGCCCUCGACACUGGGAUAGCCCGGGGAAACCCGGAUUAAUACCGGAUAGCCUUUCGAGCUACUCGGGCUCGUCAAGAAAAGGAUGGCUUCGGCUUUCGGUUGAGGAUGAGCUUGCGGCGGAUUAGCUUGUUGGUGAGG
rnacentral:rRNA from 1 species